UAGAUUAAAGGGUAUGUUAGAGGUAUCAGGGUGGAUAUAUAUAGAUUAAAGGGUAUGUUAGAGGUAUCAGGGUGGAUAUAUUUAGAUUAAAGGGUAUGUUAGAGGUAUCAGGGUGGAUAUAUAUAGAUUAAAGGGUAUGUUAGAGGUACUGGAUAUAUAUAGAUUAAAGGGUAUGUUAGAGGUAUCAGGGUAGAUAUAUAUAUAUUAAAGGGUAUGUUAGAGGUAUCAGCGUGGAUAUAUAUAGAUUAAAGGGUAUGUUAGAGGUAUCAGGGUGGAUAUAUAUAGAUUAAAGGGUAUGUUAGAGGUAUCAGCGUGGAUAUAUAUAGAUUAAAGGGUAUGUUAGAGGUAUCAGGGUGGAUAUAUAUAGAUUAAAGGGUAUGUUAGAGGUAUCAGGGUGGAUAUAUAUAGAUUAAAGGGUAUGUUAGAGGUAUCAGGGUGGAUAUAUAUAGAUUAAAGGGUAUGUUAGAGGUAUCAGGGUGGAUAUAUAUAGAUUAAAGGGUAUGUUAGAGGUAUCAGGGUGGAUAUAUAUAGAUUAAAGGGUAUGUUAGAGGUACUGGAUAUAUAUAGAUUAAAGGGUAUGUUAGAGGUAUCAGGGUGGAUAUAUAUAGAUUAAAGGGUAUGUUAGAGGUAUCAGGGUGGAUAUAUAUAGAUUAAAGGGUAUGUUAGAGGUAUCAGGGUGGAUAUAUGUAGAUUAAAGGGUAUGUUAGAGGUAUCAGCGUGGAUAUAUAUAGAUUAAAGGGUAUGUUAGAGGUAUCAGGGUGGAUAUAUAUAGAUUAAAGGGUAUGUUAGAGGUAUCAGCGUGGAUAUAUAUAGAUUAAAGGGUAUGUUAGAGGUAUCAGGGUGGAUAUAUAUAGAUUAAAGGGUAUGUUAGAGGUAUCAGGGUGGAUAUAUAUAGAUUAAAGGGUAUGUUAGAGGUACUGGAUAUAUAUAGAUUAAAGGGUAUGUUAGAGGUAUCAGGGUGGAUAUAUGUAGAUUAAAGGGUAUGUUAGAGGUACUGGAUACUGGAUAUAUAUAGAUUAAAGGGUAUGUUAGAGGUAUCAGGGUGGAUAUAUAUAGAUUAAAGGGUAUGUUAGAGGUACUGGAUAUAUAUAGAUUAAAGGGUAUGUUAGAGGUAUCAGCGUGGAUAUAUAUAGAUUAAAGGGUAUGUUAGAGGUAUCAGGGUGGAUAUAUAUAGAUUAAAGGGUAUGUUAGAGGUAUCAGGGUGGAUAUAUAUAGAUUAAAGGGUAUGUUAGAGGUAUCAGGGUGGAUAUAUAUAGAUUAAAGGGUAUGUUAGAGGUAUCAGGGUGGAUAUAUAUAGAUUAAAGGGUAUGUUAGAGGUAUCAGGGUGGAUAUAUAUAGAUUAAAGGGUAUGUUAGAGGUAUCAGGGUGGAUAUAUAUAGAUUAAAGGGUAUGUUAGAGGUAUCAGCGUGGAUAUAUAUAGAUUAAAGGGUAUGUUAGAGGUAUCAGGGUGGAUAUAUAUAGAUUAAAGGGUAUGUUAGAGGUAUCAGGGUGGAUAUAUAUAGAUUAAAGGGUAUGUUAGAGGUAUCAGGGUGGAUAUAUGUAGAUUAAAGGGUAUGUUAGAGGUAUCAGGGUGGAUAUAUAUAGAUUAAAGGGUAUGUUAGAGGUAUCAGGGUGGAUAUAUAUAGAUUAAAGGGUAUGUUAGAGGUAUCAGCGUGGAUAGAGAUGUCAGGCUAAGGUGUAGAGAGAGGGGCCUGAGUGAAUGAAGCUUUCUGAACACUCGGCUGUGCGUCCCAAAUGAUACCCCGUUAUCUUCAUAGUGCACGACUCUUGACCAGAGCCCUGUGUGGAAUAGGUGCCAUUUGGGAUACAUCCCUUCUAUCAGAUGCUGUGGUCAGGCUGGAUACCUGUCUGCCUGUCUGCCUGCCUGCCUGUAGGCCCCGUCAGAGCAGCUGGCCACUAAACCAGUUGGUCCACUCCCCUCUCCAGGCUGUCUCUGAACCCUUGGACCGAGCUGAUAAAGCUGUUAAGAGGCAUUGCUAGAUUUCCUUUGUACUGGGGGCCUGCAAGGACCAGGUACACACACACCUACGCACUUACACACCUACAGUACGCAAACACACACAUACACACACACACACACACACCCAGUGAGGUCCAGGUGCACCUAACCACCUCAUCCACCCACACGUUGGCCGCGAUGACACCGAAACAACGUCAGUCAGGAUCUCUGGCACAACUACAGUCAGGAGCACAUUAUCCCUCCUGUGGCUCAAAUGGCAUCCUAUUCCCAUAGGGCCCUGGUCAACAGUAGGGCCCUAUUCCCUAUAUACCCUCCACUGUGUUUUUCAGAGCAGAUUGUGUACUCUGGUUGGUUAUGUCAUGGUUUGACAUGGACUUGAUGUAGAAACACACAGCAGAGUUAAAUGGGUGAUCUGGGUUCAGGAAGAGGAGAGGAGAGGAGAGGAGAGGAGAAGAGAAGAGAAGAGAAGAGAAGAGAAGAGAAGAGAAGAGAAGAGAAGAGAAGAGAGGAGAAGAGAGGAGAGGAGAGGAGAGGAGAGGAGAGGAGAGGAGAAGAGAGGAGAAGAGAGGAGAAGAGAAGAGAAGAGAAGAGAAGAGAAGAGA